CGUAGGAGGCGAGCGUUAUCCGGAUUCACUGGGCGUAAAGCGCGUGCAGGUGGCGCGGUAAGUUAGGCGUGAAAUCUCCCGGCUCAACUGGGAGAGGUCGUCUAAUACUACCGUGCUUGAGAGCAGAAGAGGAAGAUGGAAUUCCCGGUGUAGUGGUGAAAUGCGUAGAUAUCGGGAGGAACACCAGUGGCGAAGGCGAUCUUCUGGUCUGUUUCUGACACUCAGACGCGACAGCUAGGGUAGUAAACGGGAUUAGAGACCCCGGUAAUCCUAGCCGUAAACGAUGUGAACUUGGCGUUGGUGGGUUAAACUCCAUCAGUGCCGAAGCAAACGCGAUAAGUUCACCGCCUGGGGACUACGGCCGCAAGGUUA
rnacentral:rRNA from 1 species